UGACAUGUCUUCUAUUUUUAGUAA
rnacentral:miRNA from 1 species